UCUGUCUCCACGUUGGUUGAGUGUGGAGUAAGUGCAUAUGAGAGCAUGAGGGUGGGAAUGGAUGUUUGUGUCUGUGUGUGCCUGUAUGUUUGUGUCUAUAUGUCAGGUUGGGUGUCAGGCGCCACCUCUCUGGGGACAUCUCAGGCCCUCCAAGGUUUGGAGGCCUAUCUCCCCGUACCACCACUUCCCCUGCCAGUGGCGGACCCCCUCAGACAUCGGUGCGUUGGUGGUUCUUUGUGUCCGGGGAUGGGCGUCCAGGUACACACCGGCUCACUCCUUGGCGGCCGCUUAUCGGGGCCUGGAGCCUGGGGCUCGCUCGGGCCACUUCGGAGGUGGGGUGCCCCCGGCCUCUCGGCCUGGGGCUCGGUCACUCAGGCGCAGCUGGCUACCGGCGGAGCUCAAGGGGGGACCCACGGCAACUCCCCCUGGCUUCUGCUCCGCGGCUGCUGAGUGAGCCCUCAUCUGGGACUCUCCUCAGCUCUUUCUGGGACAGUGGCGCAGCUGCCCCUCUGUUGGUCUUCCUUGGUCUCUUGUGUUCUGGGGGCCUCUGGAUGUCUGGAGUUUUGAUCUCCUCCAUACCUGCUUCACGCCCUGGAGGACGGGGCUGUGGCCCCCCCCCACACCCUCUAGCAGAUUAUUACAUGAAGGAACCUUUAAAAAAAAAAAAAAAAACAAGCGCGUCCAUGCUCACAGGUGUACACACGGGUGAUCACACCCACAAACUACACCCUUUUUGGCUCCUACCUCAAAGCACACUGUGUUCUGUUGAUCUUAUGUGCUGCACAAUAAUGUUUAACAUUUAGUAUUUACUGUCAUAUUCCCAUAUAUCAUUGUGAUGUUGUUUAUUCUAUUACUCUUGUUCUCUUCUGCUUGUUUUCUUUUUUCUUUCUCAGCAGGUGAUCCAGGUGAUUGAUAUAUGCAUUUUUUUUUCUCUGCCCGUUCUGUUGGUUUUUGUCUUUUGCCCUUCUCCCCCGUCCCUCUUCUCAGCUGUUUCUCUUUCCCUCUUUCUUUCUCCCCUUCUUUCCCCCAGUCAAGUCUGUCCCGUAUUCAGUAAGUGAAAAUAAAAUAAACAAUAAAAGGUGAAUCAAAUGGACCAUUACGGCAAGGCUGGGAUGGUCAGUUUGGUAAAGUAAAUCCGUUGGGCAUCUUUCUUUGCCUUUAGACAACAAUUCUGAUGGCAAAAGAGCCAAACGGGACAGGCAAAAAAAAAAAAAAAAAAAAAAAAAAAAAGAAGAGGUACAGUAAAUAUGGUGAGCCUGAAUGUUGUCACCCUUGAAAUGCGGCAAGAUCGCCUGAUUUUAUACACUAACACUAUCACCAGGUGAAAUCCACCCAAAACCUACUUUACCCUCUAUCACUAUUGCCGGGUGAAAUUCACCCGAACACAUGCCUGUAGGAAAAAGCGGGAUUUGGGGUAGGGAAACACCCACGCCUUCAAAGACGUCAAAGACAAUGCUGAAGCUACCCAGGGAUCCACCACACUCAGACAAACGCAACAUAUUGAAAAUUAUGUAAAUACAUUUGCUCGGGUGAAAAUCACCCGGCGAUAGUGUUCUAGGGUUAAAAGAAUAUCACAAUCUCAAAUGUUGUCUUUGGGGGGCAACAUUAACUAUAAUAACCUCUUGUAGUUGAGAUUAAAUAUUCAUAGUAACUAGAAUUAUGACUUUCUUUAAUGCAAUUGAAAUGAGAAAUUAGCCAUUAUUUGUGUUGUACUCAUGGUUCUUUCUCCCUGUCACCCAAAUUGAGCAAAAGUGGUUAAAAUUCUUCAACAGAGAUUUUUUUUGUAUUGGAAAGUCUAACAAGGACAUCCAAGUUCACCGAGUAGACGACACAACUUUCAUUCUGAACAACAACCUUUUAUGAUAUCUACCUGCUUUCACAUGAAAAAAAAACUGUUAGGAAGCCUCGCUGAUGUAAGCAACCAGGGUAAUCUUCUUAUGCAUCUCACAAAUAUAAACCUCUUAACUUAUGUUCAGUUUUG
ensembl:lncRNA